rnacentral:rRNA from 1 species
AACGAACGCUGGCGGCAUGCCUAACACAUGCAAGUCGAACGAGACCUUCGGGUCUAGUGGCGCACGGGUGCGUAACGCGUGGGAACCUGCCCUUAGGUUCGGAAUAACUCCCCGAAAGGGGUGCUAAUACCGGAUAAUGUCUUCGGACCAAAGAUUUAUCGCCUUUGGAUGGGCCCGCGUUGGAUUAGCUAGUUGGUAGGGUAAAAGCCUACCAAGGCGACGAUCCAUAGCUGGUCUGAGAGGAUGAUCAGUCACACUGGGACUGAGACACGGCCCAGACUCCUACGGGAGGCAGCAGUGGGGAAUAGUGGACAAUGGGCGAAAGCCUGAUCCAGCAAUGCCGCGUGAGUGAUGAAGGCCUUAGGGUUGUAAAGCUCUUUUACCCGGGAUGAUAAUGACAGUACCGGGAGAAUAAGCUCCGGCUAACUCCGUG